UACGAAGGGAGCUAGCGUUGUUCGGAUUCACUGGGCGUAAAGCGCACGUAGGCGGAUUUGCCAGUCAGGGGUGAAAUCCCGGGGCUCAACCUCGGAACUGCCUUUGAUACAGCAAGUCUUGAGUUCGAGAGAGGUGGGUGGAAUUCCUAGUGUAGAGGUGAAAUUCGUAGAUAUUAGGAAGAACACCGGUGGCGAAGGCGGCCCACUGGCUCGACACUGACGCUGAGGUGCGAAAGCGUGGGGAGCAAACAGG
rnacentral:rRNA from 1 species